rnacentral:rRNA from 1 species
GACGUAGGGCGCGAGCGUUGUCCGGAUUUAUUGGGCGUAAAGAGCUCGUAGGCGGCUUGUCGCGUCGGCUGUGAAAUCCCGAGGCUCAACCUCGGGUCUGCAGUCGAUACGGGCGGACUGGAGUUCGGCAGGGGAGACUGGAAUUCCUGGUGUAGCGGUGAAAUGCGCAGAUAUCAGGAGGAACACCGAUGGCGAAGGCAGGUCUCUGGGCCGAUACUGACGCUGAGGAGCGAAAGCGUGGGGAGCGAACAGG